rnacentral:rRNA from 1 species
UGGGGAAUUUUGGACAAUGGGCGAAAGCCUGAUCCAGCAAUGCCGCGUGUGUGAAGAAGGCCUUCGGGUUGUAAAGCACUUUUGUCCGGAAAGAAAUCCUUGGCUCUAAUACAGUCGGGGGAUACGGUACCGGAAGAAUAAGCACCGGCUAACUACGUGCCAGCAGCCGCGGUAAUACGUAGGGUGCAAGCGUUAAUCGGAAUUACUGGGCGUAAAGCGUGCGCAGGCGGUUUGCUAAGACCGAUGUGAAAUCCCCGGGCUCAACUGGGAACUGCAUUGGUGACUGGCAGGCUAGAGUAUGGCAGAGGGGGGUAGAAUUCCACGUGUAGCAGUGAAAUGCGUAGAGAUGUGGAGGAAUACCGAUGGCGAAGGCAGCCCCCUGGGCCAAUA